AUUGGUCGCGGCGAUGGAUCUCGCCGGAGGCCGGCCCCGAUGACGGGACCCCGGCCCGAACCGCCUCCACCGGGGUGACCCGGACCGGCUGAUAGUUCCUGUUCCGAU
rnacentral:ncRNA from 1 species